CUUUGCAGUUGUUAGACGUUUUGAAGUUGUGUGGCGGCACAAUGUCUACAGGAAGCUCGGACUUGGAUUUUGUCCAUAAAUGGUCUACAGAGGAGACCAAGCUCUUCAUUAAACUCCGUGCUGAGAAUGAGCAUCUCUUCACGGGCAAAAGAAAUGCAUCGAAACUAGCCUGGGAAACUGUAAUUAAAGAAAUUAAUUUGGAGGGGAAGAUUACUGGCCAGCAAGCCGCAAAGAAAUGGGAAAAUUUCAAGAA